CAAGUACUCCCUCCGUCCGGAAUUACUUGUCAUCAAAAUGGAUGUGUCUAGAACUAAAAUACAUCUAGAUACAUCCAUUUUAAUGACAAGUAUUUUCGGACGGAGGGAGUACAAG
rnacentral:pre_miRNA from 1 species